CUCAAUCUUUUGUAGACGAAGUUGGCCUCAAACAUAGAGAUCCACCUGCCACUGCCUCCAGAGGGAUGUAAUUAACUCUGCCUGCUGCUAUGGUAGGUAGGACAAAACAUUCUUCAUAUGAUUAAACAGUUCAUAUUAAAACCACCAUGAGACAUGAAUGCCCACCCACCAGAAUGCCUGAAGUUAAAGACCAACGAGAAAGGGCAAGUAGAACUCUUACACGUGUUUUUUUAUAAAAAACAAUCAUGUCAUUUCCAUCCUUGCUUCCCUCCUUCCUUCCUUUGUAAAAUAUGAAAUACUUCAUGAAUUUGUCAAAGGGACCAUGUUAAUCUUUUCCGUAUUGUUCCAAUUUUAGCAUGUGUGCUGCUGAAGCAACAAACACUAGGCAAUGUCUUGAACAUCCAUUCAUCAAUAAGUAUUUUACUUCUAGACUCUUAGCCAAGGAAAAUAAAAACACAUCUCUCCCGGUCUUAGCUAGAGUUUUACUGCUAUGAAGAGUCACCAUGACCAAGGCAAGCUUAUAAAGGACAUUUACUUGGGGCUGGCUCACAGGUUCAGAGGCUCAGUCCGUUAUUAUCAAAGUGAGAGCAUGGCAGCAUCCAGACAGACAUGGUGCAGGAGGAGCUGAGAGUUCUACAUCUUCAUCUGAAGGCUGCUAGCAGGAUACAGACUUCGAGGCAGCUAGGAUGAGGAUCUUAAAGCUUACAUCCACAGUGACACGCCUAUUCCAACAAGGCCACACCUCCAAAUAGUGCCACUCCCUCCACCAAGCAUAUUCAAACCAUGUCACUCCCCAACUAUAUGUAUAUUAAAGCCUUAUUCAUAGUACCUAGAAGCAUCUCAUGUAUCCAUCAACAGAUAAGUGGAUAAAGAGGACAUGGCUCAAUAACUCAAGGAAAUACUACUUACCAAUGAACGGAAACAAAGGUGAUGUUUGGAUAAUGUGAAUAGCUUUCAAGAUUAUGUGAAAAGAAGCCAGACGGAAGGAAAAAGAAAACGACUCAGCUCAGAAAAUGAAUAACUCAGAUUAAAUCAUUGGAAUUGCCUGGGACUGGGGCAGAGGGGACUCCUACACAGGCAUGGAAAGGUUUGGUAUGAUGGAAAUCUAUAUCUUUAUUGUAAUGGUAGAUAUAUGAACAUAUACAUCUGUCAGAUCUCUUCAAAGUGCACACUUAUAAUGUAUGUCUUCUAUUUUUUAAUAUGCUACUUUAACGCUGUUAGUUUUUUAAAAGCCAGUUUAUUAUCAAAGGGAAUUUGUAAUGCUUUCAAAUGUUGCAGGAUUAAAAAUCCAUAAUAUUAGUCAGUUGAGAGCAACUAGAUGUUUCUAGAAUAUAAAUUCAAUAGACUUGGGAGGUCUGGAAAUAAGACUAGCAAGUGGAAGAAAGGAAGAUUUUCUUGGUUUUACAGCAGGUAAAUAUGUCUUCUUCCACUUAAAGCCCUCCCUCCCUACACUGUGAGUUUUCCCACUGGCAGAAUGGGAGAAGUGUUCCCCAGCACGGUUUAAGCAAUUGUUCCUCCCCUUGUGUGGUGGUUAAUAAGCUUGGCCCAUUGGAAGUGACACUAUUAGGAGGUGUGGCCUUUUUGAAGGAGAUGUGUCUCUGUGGGUGUGGGCUUUGAGGUCCUAUGCUCAGUCUCUGCCCAGUGUAGAAGAGGGCCUCCUCCUAGCUGUCUGCAGAAGACAGUCUCCUUCUGCCUGUCCUCAGAGCAAGAGGUAGAACUCUCAGCUCCUUCUCCAGCACCAUGUCUGCCUGGAUGCUGCCAUGUUUCCUCACCAUGAUGUUCUUAGGCUGAGCCUCUGAGACUGUAAGCCAGCCCCAAUUAAACGUUGUCCUUUUGGUGUCUCUUCAUAGCGAUGGGACCCUAACUAGAUGCCUUUGCCUUUCCCUGGUAUUCCAGCACCACAAGCCAUUCACUUUCCUCUGUAGUUCUGGCUGGCCUUCAGAUUGCUCUGUAGCCUAUAUUGGCCUCAAACUCUCAAUCCUCCUGCCUCCACUUUCCUACUACUGUAAUUAGAAGUAUGUGCCACCAUGCCCAGCUAGCCACUACUUAUUGAUUUGGCUUCCUCCCCACCUUAAGUUCACCCACUGACUUUCAGUCUAGUAGCACCUGCAGACAUGUGUUUCCUAAGACUUUUACAAUAUAUGACAUUGAUCAAUAAUUAUAUUUUCCUAUUGGAUGUUUGUAUUAGUCAAUAUUCUCUAGCAUAGCAGAGAAUGAAUCUAUAUAUUGAGAGAAAGGGGAUUUAUUAGAAUGACUUACAGAGUGCUGUCCUGCUAAUCCAAUAAUGGCUGCCUAUGAAUGGAAGGUUCAAGAACUCGGUAAUUGCUCAGGCCAUAAGGCCGGGUAUCACAGCUGGUCUUCAGUAUAUGCUGAAACUCUAAAGUAGGCUCUAAUGCCAGUGAGGGAAUAGACUUGCUAGCAAGACAGGCGCAUGCAGGCAAUGAGGAAAAGCUUCCACGUUCUUAUACGAGCUUGUAGCAGAUAUACAACCCAGAUUAGAGGUAGAUUUUCCCAGCUCAAAUGAUCUGGAUUAUGUCUUCCCAACUCAAAGAGGAUCUUCCUACUUCAAAUGAAGCAAAUAAUUGUAAUCAGAUUGUAAUCAGAGAUAAUCAAGUUAACAACCAAGAAUAGCCAUUACAGUAUUUGGGGGGAGGAGCAGGGAGCUUCUGAGAAAUUUUUCCUUAUUUUUAUGCUAAGUUUCUCCCUGUUCCUUUGUCCAUUAUAAUAUUCCAGCAACUCAGUUAGGAUAUUCCCUCAAACUCUAUGCAAUAUGCCUUCUACUGCGUCUCGGUGCAGCAUGUCUCAAUUGUUAGCAUGCAUGUAAUUUGCCUUGGAACCUUAUUAAAAAGCAGAUUCUGAUUCGAUGGGCCUGAACUGGCAACUGCAGCCUUGCAUUCCUGAGAAAUUUCCAGCACACUACUGCUGGCCCAGUAAUGUACUAAGAAGCAGGACUCCAGAAGACAGGCUACAUCCAGGUUCAAACAUGCUCCAGCCCAGUGUGACAUGCUUGUCAACGACAGCUUAGAAAUCACAAAGAAAUAGUGCCUGAAUUUUAGGAUUGUUCCAAGCAUGGAUGCCUCCAGAGGUGCUUGCUAACAGCGAAUGCCCUAAUUGCUGCUCUUCUGUUUCUUAUGAUAUAUCAUCCCUGGUGUGUCGAAUGCUUCAUGUAUCUGUUUACCUGAUUGGACCCGAGUUCAUUGAAAUGAAGGACUGACUUUUCUUGACUGGGUGCUCACAACUGCUAACAAAGUAGAAGCAAUUCACGGCUUAUGACUGAAAUAAUCAAUCUUCAUCAAUUGUUUCAAAGUCUACAUGUCAGAUUAAGUUUGAGAUGCAGCCAAAAUUCUACUAAAACGUUUAUAUAAACUAAGUUGAUGAAAAUUGUUGGGGCGCAUGGGUUAUUAGCCGUGGGAACUUGAACAAAACUGAAAGAAUGGAUUCUGGAUCAGCAGCUAACAGUUUCAGCUGUACCCUGAUUAAUGGCUCCUCUAAAAUAGAAAAUUGAAUCAGGAUUUAGUUAUUUCAUCUGCAAAAGGUAAUUGAAACACAUAUUUAUGAAAUUAGAUGUGGAGAAGUGAGCUGCCACCACCCACUCAACUACAACAAGAAUUUUUCCACUUCUGAGACUGCAGAAGAGAAGAGAAAUUAAUAUGCAUGUAACACAUCUUCCUUCUCCAGCCUGCUGGCGCCUGUUGAACAGCCUGGGAAUUUUCUUUCUUGCUUCCCAAUAAUAGCAUGAACCAGCAAAGAUCUAACAGAACCAGAGGCCAAUGAGAGGUAAGGGAAUGUGGAUUACAUGUUAUAGUUUCUUCUUAAAAUGUCAAUUUUCAGGCCAUCACCACUUACAUGCAAAUAAAAGACACUUAUUUCUAAAGAAUGUAUAAUAAAUCCAGACAUGGUGGCACAUGCCUGCAAUCCUAGAGCUUGAGACGCUGAUGCAGAGGAAUCAGGAGUUUGGGCUCAGCCAGAGCUAGGCAGCAGGACAGAGGACAGAAUAACUCAGCUGCAGCAGGGCUCCCCUUCCCUGGUCACGCUGCAACGCCCUUCCUGCCCUUCCCAUCAGGACAUCAGCAGCAUUUCGGAAGUGCAAGUCCCAUGCACAAAUGCUCUCAAAUUCACGAUUGCCUUGGGCAUGCUGGGGUGUACGCUGCCAAUCUAACCCCACGCUGAAGGAAGCUCGGACUCGGCUUGCGUAUACAGCAGCCUUGUAUUUGUUACCUUCCUUGUCUGUCAAACAUACACCUAACAGAAGCCAGCGAAGGAGGGAGAAGUCUGCUGUGGCUCACAAUUCAGAAGAUUAAGUGCACCGUGACAGGGACUGAGUCUACCUAUAGGCUUGAGGCUUUUUACCGUGGGAGCUCAUAGGGUGGCCUGUUACUGGUGAAUAAGCGGAGAUAGUAGGCAGGAUCAGGCUAACACCCCAAGCUCCGCCUCCACGGAACUAUGUCUGCCAACUCGGCCCCACCCAAACCACUCCACAUCCUACUGAACAGCAACACUUGAAGCACAUGGGCCCAUGGGAGACAUCUACAUUUGAGCUUGGACAGGAGUAUUGACAAAAUAAUCUCAAACACAUGUUGAAACGACGUCUCUCCCUUUGGAAAGAAUUUCCAUCCUAACUCAAAACUGCACCGAACAUACUGAGUUCUAACAACAUCAACCAACCAGACCCGACCCACCCCACCCCACCCCAGAGCUCCCAGGGAGUAAGCCACCAACCAAGGAGUCACAUGGCUCCAGCUGCAUAUGUAGCAGAGGAUGGGCUUGGCAGGCAUCAAUGGGAGGAGAGGUCCUUGGUCCUAUGAAGGCUCUAUAGAUGCCCCAAUGUGGGGGAGGCAGGAAUGGGUGGGUGUGGAGGAAUACCCUCA